rnacentral:rRNA from 1 species
AUUGAACGCUGGCGGCAGGCCUAACACAUGCAAGUCGAGCGAGUGGCGGACGGGUGAGUAAUGUAUGGGGACUGCACGAUAGAGGGGGAUAACUACGGGAAACGGUAGAUAAUACCGCAUACUAUCGGAUAACCCAUAUGGGAUUAGAUAGUAGGUGAGGUAAUGGCUCACCUAGGCGAAGAUCCCUAGCUGGUCGGAGAGGAUGAUCAGCCCAACUGGGACUGAGACCCGGCCCAGACUCCUACGGAGGCAGCAGUGGGGAAUAUUGCACAAUGGGCGCAAGCCUGAUGCAGCCAUGCCGCGUGUAUGAAGAAGGCCCUUGGGUUGUAAAGUACUUUCAGUCGGGAGGCGUUACCGACAGAAGAAGCACCGGCUAACUCCGUGCCAGCAGCCGCGGUAAUAC